rnacentral:rRNA from 1 species
UACGGAGGGGGCGAGUGUUGUUCGGAAUUAUUGGGCGUAAAGGGCGCGCAGGCGGCUUGGCAAGUCGAGUGUGAAAUCCCUUGGCUUAACUGAGGAAUGGCGCUCGAAACUACCUCGCUAGAGGGCGGGAGAGGGAAGUGGAACUCUCGGUGUAGGGGUGAAAUGCGCAGAUAUCAGGAGGAACACCAAUUGCGAAGGCAGCUCGCUGGGACGUAACUGACGCUGAGACGCGAAAGCGUGGGGAGCAAACAGG